rnacentral:rRNA from 1 species
GACGUAGGGCGCGAGCGUUGUCCGGAUUUAUUGGGCGUAAAGAGCUCGUAGGCGGCCUGUCGCGUCGACUGUGAAAACUCACGGCUCAACCGUGGGACUGCAGUCGAUACGGGCAGGCUAGAGUUCGGUAGGGGAGACUGGAAUUCCUGGUGUAGCGGUGAAAUGCGCAGAUAUCAGGAGGAACACCGGUGGCGAAGGCGGCUCACUGGCCCGAUACUGACGCUGAGGCACGAAAGCGUGGGGAGCAAACAGG